UACGUAGGGUGCAAGCGUUGUCCGGAAUUAUUGGGCGUAAAGGGUGUGUAGGUGGUUGUGUUAGUCUUCUGUUAAAUUCUUCGGCUUAACCGGGGUCCAGCAGAGGAAACGGCACAACUAGAGGAUGCGAGAGGUGAAUGGAACUCAUGGAGUAGGGGUGAAAUCCGUUGAUAUCAUGGGGAACACCAAAUGCGAAGGCAAUUCACUGGCGCACUCCUGACACUGAGACACGAAAGCGUAGGUAGCGAAUGGG
rnacentral:rRNA from 1 species